CACUGCCCUCUGGAGGGCGAAGACCGGGUUGAGUAACGCGUGGGUAACCUGCCCUGUACACACGGGAUAACAUACCGAAAGGUAUACUAAUACGGGAUAACAUACGAAAGUCGCAUGGCUUUUGUAUCAAAGCUCCGGCGGUACAGGAUGGACCCGCGUCUGAUUAGCUAGUUGGUAAGGUAAUGGCUUACCAAGGCAACGAUCAGUAGCCGACCUGAGAGGGUGAUCGGCCACACUGGAACUGAGACACGGUCCAGACUCCUACGGGAGGCAGCAGUGGGGAAUAUUGCACAAUGGGCGAAAGCCUGAUGCAGCAACGCCGCGUGAGCGAUGAAGGCCUUCGGGUCGUAAAGCUCUGUCCUCAAGGAAGAUAAUGACGGUACUUGAGGAGGAAGCCCCGGCUAACUACGUGCCAGCAGCCGCGGUAAUACGUAGGGGGCUAGCGUUAUCCGGAAUUACUGGGCGUAAAGGGUGCGUAGGUGGUUUUUUAAGUCAGAAGUGAAAGGCUACGGCUCAACCGUAGUAAGCUUUUGAAACUAGAGAACUUGAGUGCAGGAGAGGAGAGUAGAAUUCCUAGUGUAGCGGUGAAAUGCGUAGAUAUUAGGAGGAAUACCAGUGGCGAAAGGUCGGCUUCUUCUUGGACUGUAAUAUGACACUGGAGGUCACGCAAGCCGUCUAGGCGCGAAAUC
rnacentral:rRNA from 1 species